CCUACGGGAGGCAGCAGUGAGGAAUAUUGGUCAAUGGACGAGAGUCUGAACCAGCCAAGUAGCGUGAAGGAUGACUGCCCUAUGGGUUGUAAACUUCUUUUAUAAAGGAAUAAAACGAGGCACGUGUGCCUUUUUGCAUGUACUUUAUGAAUAAGGAUCGGCUAACUCCGUGCCAGCAGCCGCGGUAAUACGGAGGAUCCGGGCGUUAUCCGGAUUUAUUGGGGUUAAAGGGAGCGUAGAUGGGUUGUUAAGUCAGUUGUGAAAGUUUGCGGCUCAACCGUAAAAUUGCAAUUGAUAAUGGCAGUCUCGAGUACAGUUGAGGGAGGCGGAAUUCGUGGUGUAGCGGUGAAAUGCUUAGAUAUCACGAAGAACCCCGAUUGCGAAGGCAGCUUACUAAACUGUGACUGACAUUGAUGCUCGAAAGUGUGGGUAUCAAACAGGAUUAGAUACCCUAGUAGUC
rnacentral:rRNA from 1 species